CCGCAGCCACAUGCAAGGUCGAGCGGUAGAGAGAAGCUUGCUUCUCUUGAGAGCGGCGGACGGGUGAGUAAUGCCUAGGAAUCUGCCUAGUGGUGGGGGAUAACGUUCGGAAACGGACGCUAAUACCGCAUACGUCCUACGGGAGAAAGCGGGGGAUCUUCGGACCUCGCGCCAUUAGAUGAGCCUAGGUCGGAUUAGCUAGUUGGUGAGGUAAUGGCUCACCAAGGCGACGAUCCGUAACUGGUCUGAGAGGAUGAUCAGUCACACUGGAACUGAGACACGGUCCAGACUCCUACGGGAGGCAGCAGUGGGGAAUAUUGGACAAUGGGCGAAAGCCUGAUCCAGCCAUGCCGCGUGUGUGAAAAGGUCUUCGAUUGUAAAGCACUUUAAGUUGGAGGAAGGCAUAACCACUACUUAUUGUUUUGAGGGUCC
rnacentral:rRNA from 1 species